rnacentral:rRNA from 1 species
GACGAACGCUGGCGGCGUGCUUAACACAUGCAAGUCGAACGGAGCUCAUCUUCGGGUGGGUUUAGUGGCGAACGGGUGAGUAACACGUGGGCAACCUGCCCCUGGCUCUGGGAUAACUCCAAGAAAUUGGGGCUAAUACCGGAUAUGACUGCUUGCCGCAUGGUGGGUGGUGGAAAGUUUUUCGGCUGGGGAUGGGCCCGCGGCCUAUCAGCUUGUUGGUGGGGUGAUGGCCUACCAAGGCGACGACGGGUAGCCGGCCUGAGAGGGUGACCGGCCACACUGGGACUGAGACACGGCCCAGACUCCUACGGGAGGCAGCAGUGGGGAAUAUUGCGCAAUGGGCGGAAGCCUGACGCAGCGACGCCGCGUGGGGGAUGACGGCCUUCGGGUUGUAAACCUCUUUCAGCUCCGACGAAGCCGGAAGGUGACGGUAGGGGCAGAAGAAGCACCGGCCAACUACGUGCCAGCCGCCGCAGUAACAC